rnacentral:rRNA from 1 species
GACGAACGCUGGCGGCGUGCUUAACACAUGCAAGUCGAACGAAGUGGCGAACGGGUGAGUAACGCGUAAGCAACCUGCCCUUCAGAGGGGGACACCAGUUGGAAACGACUGCUAAUACCGCAGACUGAAGGAGGGGAUUGCGUCUGAUUCGCAAUGUGGAGGGGUAAUGGCCCACCAGGUGGAUGAUCAGUAGCCGGUCUUAGAGGAUGAACGGCCACAUUGGGACGGAGACACGGCCCAGACUCCGACGGGAGGCAGCAGUGGGGAAGCUUCCGCAAUGGACGAAAGUCUGACGGAGCAACGCCGCGUGAGUGAUGACGGCCUUCGGGUUGUAAAGCUCUGUUAAUCGGGACGCGGUACCGGAAUAGAAAGCCACGGCUAACUACGGGCCAGCAGCCGCGGUAAUACC